UACAACAAAUUGCAAAUAGGAAGCCUCACAAAGAGAGCAUAGCAACUAUGUCUUCAUAGCUCCCGAGCAACAUCUCUGCAGUAAGCAAUGGAAGAGGAAACAGAUAAGAACGCUGCACCCACACUGCCCCACCCUCAGAAGAACAGUUACAACUUACAUGCUAAUCUGACCAGCUUGUGUGGGCCAGAAAAUCCAGAACCACAUUCAUAACUACUGUAGACCAUGAAGGGUUCUGGCUCACAAAUCCUCCUUCCCUGGGAAGCCGGCCUGGCAGAUGGGAAUCCACUUCUGAAAGUAGUCCUUUUCUCGUGCCUCUUCACUUAUGGACUUGGGAACUUGGAGCAACCUGCAAUAUCAAUUUCCAGAACAAAAGAUGAGAGUGUCCAAAUAUCCUGUAGGGCUUCCAUCAACAGCUUUAAAAGUGUAGCCAUACACAGGUACCGGCAGAAACCCAAUCAAGGUUUAGAGUUUCUAUUAUAUGUCAUCGCAACUCCUACCCAUAUUCUCUUAGAUGAGAAGUACAAAAAAAUGGAGGCAAGUAAAAACUCUAGUGCUUCCAUAUCAACAUUGACAAUAUAUUCCUUGGAGGAAGAUGAUGAAGCUAUCUACUACUGUUCCUGUGGCUAAAGCACAGCA